UACGGAAGGCAGCAGUGGGGAAUAUUGCACAAUGGGCGAAAGCCUGAUGCAGCUAUGCCGCGUGUAUGAAGAAGGCCUUAGGGUUGUAAAGUACUUUCAUCGGGGAGGAAAAAACAAAACUAAUAAUUUUAUUUCUUGACGUUACCCGAAAAAGAAGCACCGGCUAACUCCGUGCCAGCAGCCGCGGUAAUACGGAGGGUGCUAGCGUUAAUCAGAAUUACUGGGCGUAAAGAGCACGUAGGUGGUUUUUUUAAGUCAGAUGUGAAAUCCCCUGGGCUUAACCUGGAACUGCAUUUUGAAACUGAAAUACUAGAGUAUCGUAGAGGGAGGUAGAAUUCUAGGUGUAGCGGUGAAAUGCGUAAAUAUCUGGAGGAAUACCUGUGGCGAAAGCGGCCUCCUAAACGAAUACUGACACUGAGGGUGCGAAAGCGUGGGGAGCAAACAGGGAUUAGAUACC
rnacentral:rRNA from 1 species